rnacentral:rRNA from 1 species
UGGGGAAUAUUGGACAAUGGGCGAAAGCCUGAUCCAGCCAUGCCGCGUGUGUGAAGAAGGUCUUCGGAUUGUAAAGCACUUUAAGUUGGGAGGAAGGGCAGUAAGCGAAUACCUUGCUGUUUUGACGUUACCGACAGAAUAAGCACCGGCUAACUCUGUGCCAGCAGCCGCGGUAAUACAGAGGGUGCAAGCGUUAAUCGGAAUUACUGGGCGUAAAGCGCGCGUAGGUGGUUCGUUAAGUUGAAUGUGAAAGCCCCGGGCUCAACCUGGGAACUGCAUCCAAAACUGGCGAGCUAGAGUAGGGCAGAGGGUGGUGGAAUUUCCUUUGUAGCGGUGAGAUGCGUAGAUAUAGGAAGGAACACCAGUGGCGAAGGCGACCACCUGGGCUCAUACUGACACUGAGGUGCGAAAGCGUGGGGAGCAAACAGG